GGGCAUAAGAGGAGAGCAAUCAGCGGCGCACCCACAGAGUUGAUCGUCGCCGGCGUGAUGUCGUACCUGCUGCCGCAUCUUCACUCCGGCUGGGCCGUCGAUCAGGCGAUCCUCGCCGAGGAGGAGCGCCUCGUCGUCAUCCGCUUCGGCCACGACUGGGACGAAACUUGCAUGCAGAUGGAUGAGGUGCUAGCUGCUGUUGCAGAGACGAUAAAGAACUUUGCGGUGAUAUACCUGGUGGACAUUACGGAGGUGCCUGACUUCAACACGAUGUAUGAGCUGUAUGACCCUUCUACUGUGAUGUUCUUCUUCCGCAACAAACAUAUCAUGAUCGACCUGGGCACUGGUAAUAAUAACAAGAUCAACUGGGCGCUCAAGGAUAAGCAGGAAUUCAUCGAUAUCAUAGAGACAGUCUACAGGGGUGCCAGGAAAGGGCGUGGUCUGGUCAUCGCACCCAAAGAUUACUCCACCAAGUACCGUUACUGAACUGGCUGGAUGCUUAUUAAACUUAAAUACAUCAGACUUGUAGCACUAUAAUUACACUUGUGAGUUUCUAAAUUCGGUGCUGUAUUUGGUUGGAGUGUUG
rnacentral:misc_RNA from 1 species